CAGUAGCCACGGUAAUACGAAGGGGGCUAGCGUUGUUCGGAUUUACUGGGCGUAAAGCGCACGUAGGCGGAUCGAUCAGUCAGGGGUGAAAUCCCAGAGCUCAACUCUGGAACUGCCUUUGAUACUGUCGAUUUGGAGUAUGGAAGAGGUGAGUGGAAUUCCGAGUGUAGAGGUGAAAUUCGUAGAUAUUCGGAGGAACACCAGUGGCGAAGGCGGCUCACUGGUCCAUUACUGACGCUGAGGUGCGAAAGCGUGGGGAGCAAACAGGAUUAGAUACCCCCGUAGUCCCUGUCUCUUAUAC
rnacentral:rRNA from 1 species